rnacentral:lncRNA from 1 species
GGAAGGAUGGGGGGGGUCUCCACCACCCAACAGACCCCAAAGACCCCCCAGUGUAGCCCAACUUGGGGGUCUCAACUCAAUGAGCCCCAACUUGGGGGUCUCCAGCCCCAACUGUGGGGUCUCCAACCCCAACUUUGGGGUCUCCAUCACCUAAAGACCCCCAUCUAUGGGGUUAAUCACCCAAUGAAGCCCAACUUUGGGGUCUCUAUCACCCAAUGACCCCCAUCUAUGGGGUCAAUCAGCCAAUGGAGCCCAACUUGGGGGUCUCCAUCACCCAAUGACCCCCCAUCUAUGGGGUUAAUCAGCCAAUGGAGCCCAACUUGGGGGUCUCCAACCCCAACUUUGGGGUCUUCAACCUUGAGAUUCCAACCCCAAUGUUGGGGUCCAUGACCCAUUGAUCCCAUUGUUGGGGUCUUCACCCCCCACCACCCCCAUCCCUGGGGUCUCCACCCCCAACUACCUCUAACUUUGGGGUCUUCACCCCCCACCACCCUCAUCCUUAGGGUCUCCACCCCCACCUUGGGGUCUUCAUCCCCCACUGACCCCAAUGUUGGGGUCCAUGACCUAAUUAACCCAACUUUGGGGUCCCCACCACCCAACGACCCCAAUGUUGGGGUCUAUGACCCAAUGAACCCAACCUUGGGGUCUCCACCCCCCAUUGACCCCAAUGUUGGGGUCCAUGACCCACCACCCCCAUCCUUGGGGUCUCUACCCCCCAAUGACCCCAACAUUGGAGUCUACCACCCAAUGACCCCAACAUUGGGGUCCAUGACCCAAUGACCCCAACUUUGGGUCCCCACCACCCCCAUCCUUGGGGUCUCCACCCCCCAACUACCCCAAUGUUGGGGUCCAUGACCCACCACCCCCAACCUUGGGGUCUUCAUCCCCCAUUGACCCCAAUGUUGGGGUCCAUGACUCACCACCCCCAACUUUGGGGUCUCCACCCCCCAACGACCCCAACAUUGGAGUCUACCACCCACUGACCCCAACAUUGGGGUCCACGACCCACCACCCCCAUCCUUGGGGUCUCCACCCCCCAACUACCCCAACAUUGGGGUCCCCCCCCUCGGGGUCUCCACCCCCCAAUGACUCCAACAUUGGGGUCCAUGACCCACCACCCUCAUCCUUGGGGUCUCCACCCCCCAUUGACCCCAACAUCGGGGUCUCCACCCCCCAUUGACCCCAACAUUGGGGUCUCCACCCCCAACCUCGGGGUCUC